rnacentral:rRNA from 1 species
CUUCGGGUCGUAAAAUUCUGUUGUCAGAGAAGAACGUGCGUGAGAGUAACUGUUCACGUAUUGACGGUAUCUGACCAGAAAGCCACGGCUAACUACGUGCCAGCAGCCGCGGUAAUACGUAGGUGGCAAGCGUUGUCCGGAUUUAUUGGGCGUAAAGGGAACGCAGGCGGUCUUUUAAGUCUGAUGUGAAAGCCUUCGGCUUAACCGAAGUAGUGCAUUGGAAACUGGAAGACUUGAGUGCAGAAGAGGAGAGUGGAACUCCAUGUGUAGCGGUGAAAUGCGUAGAUAUAUGGAAGAACACCAGUGGCGAAAGCGGCUCUCUGGUCUGUAACUGACGCUGAGGUUCGAAAGCGUGGGUAGCAAACAGGAUUAGAUACCCUGGUAGUUCACGCCGUAAACGAUGAGUGCUAAGUGUUGGAGGGUUUCCGCCCUUCAGUGCUGCAGCUAACGCAUUAAGCACUCCGCCUGGGGAGUACGGUCGCAAGACUGCAACUCAAAGGAAUUGACGGA